UGAACUGGAGAUCCUAGUGUCUCAGCCUCCUAGCAUGCUGGAAUUACAGACAUGCACCAUCAACCCAAAUUUUCUUGUUAGUGCUAACAUAGUUCUUCAAAACCACUUUCUAUGGAUCUUUAGGAAGAUAAAAUAAUCAGCCUAUUUGCAAAUAAUAGUUUUAUGUUCUCCUUUCCAAUAGUUUUGCUAGCCAGGGAUAUAGUUCAGUGGCACAACUACCUGCCUGGCAAGUGCAAGGUCCUGAGUUCGAUUCCUGGUACAAAAAAAAGACUCCAAUAGUUUUGCUUCAUGUUUUAUGUUUACCUAAAAAUACACCAUAAAACACACCUGAAAAGAAGUUAAAGAAGUGAUGCAAUAUUAUGUACUAAUCAUGUUUAUAUUAACAGAUGUGCUGUGAUUCAAUUAUCCUCGCAUUUAGAGAAUAGUUACAUAUAAUUAUCUUUUGCCUUGCCAUUCUAGUAUUAUUUUUGUGUUAAUUUAUAUAUGAAAUUGUAAUACAGUGCAGUUUUGCUAAUUAUAUGCAAAUAAGUUAUAAAGCUUUCUCUCAUUCUCUAUCCUCAGAAAUCAUUCAAACAACAUGAGGAUUACUUAUUUAGAGACUAUGCUAAGGAAAGAUCUACUCACAUAUCCAAUUAGGUUGGAGUGGACGUGGGGCAUCAUGGAGGAAGUUCUUGGCUUGGGUGUGGCCCUCCAUGUGGAAAUUUUAAAUUUCUCUGUCAUUUUCUUGAAAGUCUCUGCAAAUUGCUUUUAUAGACAUUCCAUUACUUAACAAGAGUGUCACACUGUUUGAUGUGGUCAAUGGCUGCACAGGCCUUGUACCAGUCAGGUUUUCUGAGAAGUGUUGCAGGUUACUAGAGAUGUCUGGGAUCACCUAGGCUGGGGUUGGUGCUCCCCAAACCAUCAGAAGGACCACAACUAAGAUUAGGAGUGAGAAGGUCAGCUAUGUGGCAGAACCAGAGGGACACUCUGGAUCUAGGUAUUGGAGGCAGGACAGCUUUGGUGUUAACUUUUCUUCAAGACAGUUAAGCUUGAGAAGAAGGCAGAAGUACAUGUGUUCUCAAAAUGUACAUUUCUAGUGUUCUUUGGGUUCUACUACAUAACCGUAUUACCACAUCCCAAUUUAGUAGCUUACAACCUGUCUCUGCUACAAAGGACAAUGGAGAGACUUCCAUAUUAUUUAGAACUCAGCAGAAAUAACUCCAUGGGGGCACUGAACAUGUGGGAAUAAGCAGUGGCCGGAAUUUUCCAGAGCUGAUCUGUUCAAUACAGUGGGAACUAGCCACAUGCAUCCUCUGUGUGCCUGAAGUGUGCUUAGUCUGAAGUGAAUCAUGUUCUAAGUUUAAAACUUUCCUUUCCCACAUUUAUUUCAAACAUUUAGCAUACAAGAGUUUAAGCUAUCUCAUUAAAAGCUUUAAUGUUUAUUGUAUAUUG
rnacentral:lncRNA from 1 species